rnacentral:rRNA from 1 species
GACGAACGCUGGCGGCGUGCUUAACACAUGCAAGUCGAACGGAAAGGCCCUGCUUUUGUGGGGUGCUCGAGUGGCGAACGGGUGAGUAACACGUGAGUAACCUGCCCUUGACUUUGGGAUAACUUCAGGAAACUGGGGCUAAUACCGGAUAGGAGCUCCUGCUGCAUGGUGGGGGUUGGAAAGUUUCGGCGGUUGGGGAUGGACUCGCGGCUUAUCAGCUUGUUGGUGGGGUAGUGGCUUACCAAGGCUUUGACGGGUAGCCGGCCUGAGAGGGUGACCGGCAACAUUGGGACUGAGAUACGGCGCAGAAUACUACGGGAGGAAGCAGUGGGGAAGAUUGCACAAUGGGCGGAAGCAUGAUGAAGCAACGCCGCGUGCGGGAUGAAGGCCUUCGGGUUGUAAACCGCUGUCGCCUGUGACGAAGAGUGAGUGACGGUAAUGGGUAAAGAAGCACCGGCUAACUACGUG